rnacentral:rRNA from 1 species
UUCUGCUUGCAGAAGAUAGUAAAGUGGCGCACGGGUGAGUAACGCGUGGGUAAUCUACCUCUGAAUCGGGGAUAACCCGCCGAAAGGCGAGCUAAUACCGGAUAAUAUCUUUAAAACUUAGGUUUUUAAGAUCAAAGGUGGUCUCUACAUGUAAGCUACUGUUUGGAGAUGAGCCCGCGUACCAUUAGCUUGUUGGUAGGGUAAUGGCCUACCAAGGCCGCGAUGGUUAGCUGGUCUGAGAGGAUGAUCAGCCACACUGGAACUGACACACGGUCCAGACUCCUACGGGAGGCAGCAGUGAGGAAUUUUGCGCAAUGGGGGAAACCCUGACGCAGCAACGCCGCGUGAGUGAUGAAGGCUUUCGGGUCGUAAAGCUCUGUCAAGUGGGAAGAACUUGCUCGAUGUUAACACCAUCUAGCACUGACGGUACCACUAAAGGAAGCACCGGCUAACUCCGUGCCAGCAGCCGCGGUAAUACGGGGGGUGCAAGCGUUAUUCGGAAUUAUUGGGCGUAAAGGGCGCGUAGGCGGUCUCUAAAGUCAGAUGUGAAAGCCCGGGGCUUAACCCCGGAAGUGCAUUUGAAACUCAGGGACUUGAGUAUGGGAGAGGGGAAAGUGGAA